AUACGGAGGGGGCUAGCGUUGUUCGGAAUUACUGGGCGUAAAGCGUACGUAGGCAGACUGAUCAGUUGGGGGUGAAAUCCCAGGGCUUAACCCUGGAACUGCCUUCAAUACUGUCAGUCUUGAGAUUGGAAGAGGUGAGUGGAAUUCCUAGUGUAGAGGUGAAAUUCAUAGAUAUUAGGAGGAACACCAGUGGCGAAGGCGGCUCACUGGUCCAAUACUGACGCUGAGGUACGAAAGCGUGGGGAGCAAACAGGAUUAGAUACCCUAGUAGUCC
rnacentral:rRNA from 1 species